AGACAACACAAAGUAUAACAGAGAAAGCAAAGAAGAUGACAACACAAAGUACAACACAGAAAGCAAUUGUAAAAAUGAUGACAACACAAAGUACGACAAAGAAAGUCAAUGUCAAUUCACCUGAGAAGAUGAUGACGACACAAAGUGCAACUCAGAAAGGAUAUAGCUGUCCUGUAGGAUGGCUGAGGGCAGGAUCCAACUGUUACUAUCAAUUAAAUGAGAGGAGAAGUUCGCAGGAGAAUGAAUCAGACUGCCAGAGGAAAGGAGGAAGUCUAAUUGUCGUAAAUAGUAGAGAAAAACAGAGAAUACUUAAUGGUGAAACAACUAAGGAAGUUCAGCAGUGUGGGAUAAAAUGAAAAAAAUGCAACAUGUCUUUAUCCUGUCUUCUUCCCCUCACCCCAACCAGUCACAGCAGAUCGCCGCCCUACCCUCAGCCUGGUUCUGCUGGAGGUUUCUUCCUGCUGAAAGGGAGUUUUUCCUUCCCAGUCUCAAGAAAUUGCUUGCUUACAGUGGCUCAUUUCAUUGUUGGGGUUUUCUGUGUUUUCUUUGUAUUAUUGUGGGGUCUUUAUCUUACAAUAUAAAGUGCCUUGAGGCAACUGUUGUUGGGAUUUGAUGCUCUAUAAAUAAAACCGAACUGAAC
ensembl:lncRNA